AUUGAACGCUGGCGGCAUGCCUUACACAUGCAAGUCGAACGGCAGCACGGGAGCAAUCCUGGUGGCGAGUGGCGAACGGGUGAGUAAAGUAUCGGAACGUGCCCAGUCGUGGGGGAUAACGUAGCGAAAGUUACGCUAAUACCGCAUACGAUCUAUGGAUGAAAGCGGGGGAUCGCAAGACCUCGCGCGAUUGGAGCGGCCGAUAUCAGAUUAGGUAGUUGGUGGGGUAAAGGCUCACCAAGCCGACGAUCUGUAGCUGGUCUGAGAGGACGACCGGCCACACUGGGACUGAGACACGGCCCAGACUCCUACGGGAGGCAGCAGUGGGGAAUUUUGGACAAUGGGCGAAGGCCUGAUCCAGCCAUGCCGCGUGCAGGAUGAAGGCCUUCGGGUUGUAAACUGCUUUUGUACGGAACGAAAAGGUUUGGCCUAAUAAGCUGAGCUCAUGACGGUACCGUAAGAAUAAGCACCGGCUAACUACGUGCCAGCCGCCGCAGUAA
rnacentral:rRNA from 1 species